AUACGGCUGCGGGCUACAAUCUUUUGCAACCGCCUCAACCACUCCCUAUAGUUUUGGGCUUCAAUGUAAUUUCCCCUCUUAACCCUACCACUCUCAUAAGUCACACACCAAUCAAAAAGUCAAACUUGUCCCUAAAACACUUUCACAUUCUCCAACGCCCAGUCAAAAGCACCAUCCAACAAAAUGGCUCCAAGAAAGGGUAAAAAUGGAAACAUAAUAUUAAGGCGGGAAAAAUCAUCAGGAAAAAGUCGCCGGGAAUCAAACUCGGAAAUUCUUUCCGGUGAAAGUCUGACCGAACUGCCAGUUAGCUGGGACGAUGUUCCACGAAGUGGAGGAGCGUCGGUCACUGCCUGUGACCCUGAAGGAGAGUGACUGACCAACCAGAACCGAGUUCGACUGCCAGUUCUGUCCCCAGUUACGGCUCAGGCUCAUCCAGCCAGUCCUGGACCCUUUCACGCUCACCCUCACGAUAUCCCCUGCACCCGCGACGUUGGAGACCAAAACCAAGUUGAAGUAACGGAAGCCGUUGAUGGUGAACCUGAUCCCUCCGCGCUUCCGGCAUGGCACCCUGAGGAAAUAAGACAAAACGAGUGAGGAUAAGACGGUAAUUAUCAGUGCAGUUAGUAUAACGUGGAUCGCGGACCGUGUUUCUAGGUGGGCGUGACUAAAUCUAAAGCCCUUUUCACAUUGAUCAACGAGUCUCCGACUUUAGGAGACUGUGCUACCUAUCGUACUUUGUGCCGUCAGAUUCUCUGGUCAAGGGUGCGUACGGUUCAGAUCAUCCGAGAAGUCUAAGCACCAGUCAAGGAGAAAAGCCAGGAUUGGUUGCUAAUGUAAGUUAGUGGACUAUAAGUCAAAUUUUUCUUUUUUCGAUUAUAGGUCAAAUUUUAAAAAAAAAUUAGAGAUAAUAAAAGAUUAUAUACUGAACAUCAAACAUUCCCCUACAAAUGAUACAGUCUAUAGUUCUUUUUAACUUUAAACAAGUGACCCGACUUUGCGAAACUGUGAUUUGUAGCUUUAAUGGUUAAAAAUGUUUAUUCUAAAUUGUGUAACGUCUAAAGUCACUGUAAUGAAAACGCUCAUAGUUACUGUGUUGGCUAAAAGGUCCAAAAUUAGGGCAAAUGCUGACGUACGGCAACUUAGACACUUCCAUGAAAAGUAUAAACAACUUAUGAAAAAUCUAGAUUUAAAUUAUUUGAUAAUUUGAUUUCAACUGUUUUGGGACCAGAUAGGUUUAAUGCCAAAUAACCGAAAGUGACCAAUAAACUUCCAAAAGGAGUCGAAAUUAACUAAUGGUAAUGACCUAAAGCAAAUUAGGUCAGUUAACAGUGAUGAAGGUAUAAGUAAUAAGAUUUAAGAAAAAACUUAGACCCAUCUGGGCCAUUAUCGUGUGUCAAUAACUAACCAAACACAGAACCCAUUACAUUUUCAGAACGAAUAAUGACCCACAAGAUAAAGAAAGAUCACACAAAAAGCUUCACAAGAUGGUCCGAUUCUCAAUCUUGCAACGCAUUUCUGAUUAAAGAGUUUCAAUACUGUCGAGCACUAUAAACUUAUUGACAUUUGAGGAAAAAACGAAUUUGAAUACGUUUUGGUAAAUCUAGCUUUUACGACAGCAUUUUACGUAGCAAAACAUUUACUAGUACUAGUUCACUCUAAGACCGAGAUUUGAGUUCCAAAGUGGCAAAACAGAGUGAAAACGGAGCAUUCUGUAAAAACAAAGAUCUUAACGCUUCCGCAUUUUCCACUAGGUAAAAUGGGAAUGAGAAAGAAACUUACUUUAAAGCAGCCCAUAACUAUUUACCCAAAAAGAAAAAGUGUUUCAACUACCUAAAGCCAAAUCAGAGCAAACAAAGAAAACCAAAAACAUAGCACUAAACAGAGUAAAAAGUUAAAAAGCAGAGAAACGAGCUUUACUAACCUACGAUAGGAAACAGGGACAAUCCCGGCACGGUACUCAGCGAUCUUAAGAAACAUGGGCAUGGCAAGGUCAAAGUGAGGCCUAGGAGGGUUGCACCAUCCGCCAUUGUCGCUAGGCUGAGCAAAGUUGGGUGGGCAAAAGUUAGUUGCAGUGAUGAAAAUCGAAGGACUUCCAGAGUGGCACCAGUUCGGGUCGUUUGCGCACUUGAUUUCAAAGCAGGCACCGCAGCUGAGGCCAUUGUUGAACAGCGCCGUGCUAAGAGCAGCAGUGCUCACUCCAUAUCCCUGGCUGUAAAGAUUACCGUAUCCACAAGCACCGCCUGUAAACAACAAAUUAGCUUAGUUGGUUAGAGUGUGAUCUUAGAAUUCGUAAAUGCAUAAAAGGCGCGGUUGGGACGUACCCAUGGUGCCUGAGGCAUCAGAGCCACCGUAGAAGGUGGCAUGAGCACCUUGCCAAGCACCACCGGAGUAGACACCAGGGAUUCUAGCCUCGGUGAUAGAUGUUAGUGAGAUGAGAAGAGCAGCAAUGCAAGCCAAACUUGCCAUAGCCAUUGUUGUUGCUCUCUCUUGUUUUCUCUGUGGCUCAACACUAGAAAGGAGAAGAGAGAGUGAGCUACUCUGAAGGUGAGGGAUUAAAGCAGGAGGUUGGGGACUACUUAUGGAGGUAGCUUUGAGUUGGCCCUUAGUGGCAAAGCUUGGAAUUUUCAGACAUUAACAAUACCCCUAUAUUUAAUAUUUUCUUCUACCCCCAUUGGCAAUCAAUUGCGCGUGUGCGUCACUUACCAAUUGGAAUCCCCGUUGUACGGAUAAGUGUGGGACCCAACCCAUGUUACUCUUUUAUUUACCAGUUGGUGGGAUGUUGUCUGUUGCACGCUCUUAUGGGCGAGUGCUGAAGGUGGUUUAUAUUCUUUCGUUUCUCUCUUUUUUUGGUGUCGUGUGUUUUUUUUCUUCCUUUUUAUUUUUGGGAAGGUUUUUGGUUGUUAAAUUUUUCUUGCUAUCACACCUAAAACUCGUUUAUGGCUUUGUCCUUCGUCAAAAGAACAAAGCGAGCACAUGAUUUUUCAAACGUAACCGGAAAAUAAGAACAAUUUGCCUCCAAAAAUAGAAAAAUGAAAUCAUGACCCUGAAACGAGGAUGAACAAACCAUGUGUGUGAGAUCGUUUUAUUAUAUUUUCUUUAUCAGUUAGCAUUUCACACUUCAAUCGUAACACGAUAGUAGAUUUCUGAAAUAAUAUAAUUUUCGUAAAUUUUGAAGUAAUAAAAUUAAGAAAAAUAAGAUUUCGUGCUCCGACACUAAAAGAAAAGGUAUCAACAAUACAACAAAAUUGUUGUUGUUCACUUUUACGCAUUUCCUCGAAUACGUGAUUUGACAUACGUUUGCAAGUCAUUAAAUUGUUAACUUUUCUUUCACUUAAUAUGUGACAUCAUAUUUUUCUUAUUAUGAGGUCAUAAAAUAAAGUCUCCAAAGGUGAUUAGGGCAAAGCAAACUUGUAAAGUGAGAAAUAGAAUCUUGAAUCCUUAAUUAGUGAUAAAACGAAGUGGGGGGAAUGUUAGAUCUAGGCUCUCUAGAAAGAGUAAACUUUGAGUCAUUCUUAAGUUGAGCCGUGAUAUGCGGCUGGGAUUUUAUGACAUUCUUCAUUGGGGGGCCAAGAAAGAUUUCAUGGGGCUUGAGACAGGGAUACAAAUAUUGUGCAAUACACUUUCUACAAAAGAAAAUUGUGCAAUACAAUCUAACAAAACAAUAAAGGUCCCCGCUGAAUGAGGUACCAAGAAAUCGUUAGUGGGUGGAGAAGUCCCCAUAGGAAAAAGUACACACCUAAUCACCAAUGAAGCCAUGUAAGAACCGCCAACUAGAAGUCAUUUGAGUUGCGAAUUAAUUUUCACAGUAAUAAACUCAAAACUAUAAAAUGUUUUCCAAAAACGCUCGAGGUAAAUUUAGGAGGAUUCAUAACAAUUGUAAUUAAUUUUAGUCAUUCAUAACAAUUCAUAUGUAAAGGAUCACCAUGUAUCUAUAAUAACGUCAUCAUCUGAUCAUAUUCAUUCACAUAGUAUAUGUAGAUACAUGUCUGAUGACAUUAUGGAUAAAAAUUGUAUGUAUUAUGUAAGUACACAAUACAAUCUUAGUCAUUCAUAACAAUUCAUAUAUAAGGGAUCACAGUGCAUUAUAGUAACGUCAUCUGAUCAUAACCAUUCACACCAUAUAUGUAGAUACACGACCGUAUACUGAGGUAUGCUGUGUAAUGAAAAUCUUCUUGAUAAAUCAAAAACUAUACUACGAGAGAUUGUCACAUAAUGUAUUUGGUAUUUAGGUAAUCCGAUUAGAGCAUCCAGCUGGAGUUGAAAGAGCCACUUAAUCAGUUAAUCCCGUGAUCAUCGGUCCACAUAACCCGCCUUGCUUGCCUGGCUUUAAUAACACCAGCGGGGCACAAGUAGAACAAGAAAGGCACGUAACAAUAACAAUUAAGCUAAUUAUUUAGCUUAACUAUUGUUAAUCUCGAGCCACCCCCACACUCCACAGUGACAAUAGAGUUCGCAGACCAAACUCCAUUAUUAUCAUUUGUUAUUUUUACUUUUGGCAACUCUAUAUAUAUUUACAUAAUUAUGCAUGUAAUUUCUGUCACGUUUUGUCCCACUUUCUUUAGCUGCAUGCAAUUUCUCCACGGGCUGCGCACUACUGACAGUGAACUGCGGAAGGCUUGUAAUUUCAAAUGUAAUAGCUUCCUGGUUUCUAAUCCUCACAAUAGCGUAAAAACAUUCGAGGCUUAGGGUUGUAGUGUUGGCACAUUUUAAUCUGAUUACUUCUUCAAGCUAGAUGUUGAUAAUUGAUUACAUACGAAAAUAGAAACCACGAUCAUCUAUACAAUUAAUUAAAAUGACUAGCUCGUUUGAUAAUUAAGUUUUAUCUAUGAAAUAAAUAUACUGAUUAUUAAGUGAAUUCUUGAAAAUUGAUUUAUUUCGACACUUUUCGUUAAUUUAUACAUAGCAUGUCCAAAAAAUGGUUAUAUAAUUGAAAUAUUAUAUAUACAUGCAUGAAACACUUUCCAUUCGCGUUAAUGAUCUCAAAUUUGAACUCGAUCUAGGACAACAUUUCAACCUUGGAUAUUUUUCUCAACACGCAUGGAUCCUCCUUGAUCAGCUGAAAUGUUUGCUUGCUGCACAUAAACAGUAAAUCCACAAUGCGACUUAUGAAAUUGUUCAACGCGAGCUUCUUGCUAGUUGUGGAAAUCUUCUUUGACAUGCAAAGGCUUUAAGGAAUUAAAACCCUACCUAGCUAGCUCACUAUAAUUUCUGUCUAUAUAACUUACCAUUAUAAAUUUGAAAAUUUCUAAUUACAUUGGAUACCAUACAGAAACUAGAAUCUAAAUGGCGAUGACGAUUAUGAUGAUUACAUCUCUCGGUUUUCUGAUUUUCUAGCUUUUCACUCUUUUCUUCAUUUUUCCACGAACCUUCUGUGUUUGUCAACUUACCGCAGCUGUUUAGCAUCCACAUCAAAAGAUGGGGAACAAUGGAUUUUGUGGUAGACCUGGCAUGUAUGUUUGUUGCAGGAAAAUUCGAAUUGCAUAAUUACAGUCCAAAGUGGGCGAAUUUUGGUGGGAAAGAGGUUAAGAAAUGAACGUGGGAAGGGUUUGAACUUUGAAGUUUGAAGUCCAACACUAGCUUGACUUCAUGUAAAGCCUAAAAUCCAUGAAAUGAAAGUUACAAAGGAAACUCCCCUACAAAAUCCACCAAUUGAAGCCAUUGUAUCCGUCGAGCAUUAGUAAUGUGCAUGCCACAAUCAGAUGUUUUGGUUUCGAGUUUCGAGUUUCGAGUUUCAAGUUUCCAGUAACCGCUAUGCCUGCUAGUUAGAGCGUCAAAGCAUUCAUUUGUAUGAACUAGGGGUGGGCAUAAAGCCCGUUGGAGAUAAAAAGCCCGAUCCGGACCGGCCAGCCCGACCGGGUCGGGACGGGCUUUUUACCGGUCCCGACUAUGUUUAUUGGCGGUCCGGGCCAGGCCCGUGUAUAACCGAUUCGGGCCUGGGCCUUGUUUAUGGAAAUGAAAAAAAACCCGAGAGCCCGACUAAUAUACAUGUCAUACUUUUAUUAGGUGUUUCUAAGGAUUUACAAUAAUAGAAUGAGCUCAACCACACAGAAUUUGUGGUCAAAGACCUAAACUAAAUUGAGAGGGUCAACUCUCUCAGUCAGUCAGUCUCGCUCUCGAACUCUCGUAGUCUCGCUCUUGGACUCUCGUUGAGUCGUUGUCGCACUCGCACUCGUACACUCUCGCUGUCUCGCUCUCGAACUCUCGCAAUCUCGCUCUCGGACUCUCGUUGAGUCGUUGUCGCACUCGCACACUCUCGCUGUCUCAGACUCUCUCAGGCUCGCAUCUCAUCUUCACUGGAAAGCAGCUCGAUCAAAGGUCUGCUCCUCUCUCUCUCUCUCUCUCUCUCUCUCUCUCUCUCUCUCUCUCUCUCUCUUCGUAGUUCGUAUCUGCAAUUCUGAAUUUGAGAUUGACUUUUAUUCUAAUAUGGGUUCUUGUUUCUUGUUUUGAUCGACUCUUCUGGAGAAGAUGAUUUACAGAAAGUAAGGCUCUUCCUGGAAUUGGGGUUUCGACCGUUUCGUUGCUCUUCGGCCUCUUCCUAGUUCGAGUUUUCCUACGAGUUCUCUUGGUAUGGUUUCCUUCCUCUUUUAUGGCGAGUUUUUCUUUAUCUUCUCAGUUUAGAUAGAUGGUGAUGGUGAUUGAAGUUUAGAUAGAUGUUGAUGGUGAUUGAAGUUUAGAUAGAUGGUGAUGGUGAUUGAAGUUUAUUGACUUUAGUUGAAGUGUUUCUCUUGUUAAUUUGUUAGUGCUGGACUGAUGGUUUUAAUUAAAUUCAGUUGUUGAGAACUUGAGAUUUGAUUGUUUUGCAGCCUUUGCUAGUUUUUGCUGUGUUUUUACAGUUUACUGCUUUGUGCCUUUGUUGAGCACUUAAACAGUUGAACACUUGGUCAGUUGGUCUAGUUUUACUAUUGCAGAUUGCAGUUAAGUUGUCAGUUCAUUCAGUUGUGUGCACUGUGCAGUGUAUCGAGCUUUCAAUCUUGCACAUUUCAGUGAUUUCAUUGCAGAUUUGCAUUGCAUUUCAUUUCAGGUUAUCAGGCCCACAAGCCCGAUAGGACAGGCCAUGUUCUUACAUGUCCGGGCUUUUACCGGGCUCUAAAAUUCUUGCGCCGGUCCGGGCUUUUUUCGGGCCCUGAAUUUGAAACAAUAAAACCUGACCCGGUUGGAGUGUAUCCGGUCCGGACCCGGGCCCUGUAAAAUAGUGGCCGGGCCGGGGCCAUGCCCAACCCUAGUAUGAACCGUUCACAAAAACAGUAUAUGAACUGGAAUUCAUCCAAUAAAGCCGUUAUUAAACGAGUCUAAACUUUAGCCGAAAAUCACAAUAGGGUGGGGUGGUGUAAUCAAAUCAUGCAUUACUAAUUGUAAGAUGAAACUUGGUAUUGGUAGUCACAUCGAUCCAUGAAUCUCUAGCUAUCUUUAGCUCCAUGUGCCUCUAAGCUCUCUAACUUAUAACACAAGACUAGGAUUUUAAUUGGGGCGCGACCUAAAAGGGGGGCCAAUAGGUGCCUUCCACGUCAGGUAUCAUACAUGAGGCUGUGGGACGGGACCAGCCUGACAUUGGGCUCAUGAUGGGCUCUGAUUAGAGCGUGCGCCUCACUCGCAACCAUGUGAACUUAAUUAUAGCUCCCUGCAAGUCAACAACGUAAACCUCAGUCUUUGGCUCUUUCCGUUUGUCUCCCAUUAUUUAUUUUCUUGAAGGGAUUUUUUUUUCUGCUUUUUUUGUUCUUCUUUUUUCUAAAAAGGAAGGAAAAAAUUUGAGUCGCUUAAACUCUCGUAUUUUUCGAAACAAGCUUAAACUCUGGUUGCUCACCUAGUUUAACAUAUGCAUUUGGUCCUAGUGGAAUAUGAAGGUCUCUUUUUUGUUGAUGUUGUUCUUCUCUUGCCAAUUAAUUAGCUAGUGGAAUGAAGAUUAAACUAACGAGCUAAUAUGAAUUAGUUUGUGUUUAGUCAUGUAUUGUUGUUUGAUCAUGCAAUGGAAACUAUCUAGUAGCAACAAAAAUUAACUUGAUAAUGAGAUGGAUGAGUGUGUGUUUUAUUGUUUUUGGAGAUCUUUACUUCCAUGCAAGAGAUUCUUUUUUUUUUCUUUUCUUUCCAAGUUCAUUUAUGAAGUUUUUAAAAGGAAAAUUUUCUUCUCAUUACUGCUUUUGUCCUUAUCAAGCUAGACAAUGCUUUUGUGAUGUAGAACUAUGAUGAAAUAGUUCAUUGAUUAAUGCCCUCACAAUUAAAAACGUUCAUUUGGGAUUUCAUAUAAAACAUUGGUACGUAGUUGAGAUCUUGUUCUAGAAUCAAAAUGGAAGGAUAAGGUGGUUGCCCCAUUAGGAUACUCAAAACCGGCCAUGGAUUUAGGAUCGUUCAAUUGAAAUGGUUCGUUCAUGCAUGAUGGUUAUAAUUAAAAGAAGCUCAAUUUAGUACAUACGUACUCAACAAAUCUAUAAUGCAAUUAUUAUAGUUCUUAGCUCAAGUUGUAUAGAGUUGUCGAUAAUAUAAAUCAAAUAUUAGUGAUGUUAAUGUAAUCGUAACAUGAACUUGUACCUAUAAUCAAAUUAUCAAAUGACCGUUAAGCUUGGAUUUUUCAUCAAAUUGUUCCUCAAUUAAAAACGGGUUGACGUCUUCAUAGCUUCGUCCUUUCACUACAAUCAGCUAUGCAUUUUGAUUUCAAAACAAAAAUAGCAUCAUAAAGAUAAUAUGGAGGUCGCUUCUAAUUAGUUUGAUGCAUGACUUUGAUGAUCUUCUAAUACGAAGAAUGUUUUGUUAUAUAUAAAUUGGCUCCAUAACUAACUAAUAUAAUGUUUGACCUGUGCUAUUGGAACGAUUCGUUUGGCUAUAAUAGGCUCGAGCAUAUGAAGUUCUUGAUUUGUAAAAAUAUAGUUUCCUCUUGUUUCUUAUGUGGGGAUUCGUUAGAUUUCCUUUUUAGUUACUUAAUUGUUUAAUAAGUUUGUUUCCAUGAAAAAUUCUACAAUGUGUUAAUGCAUGUGAAUAAUGUGAUGCAUCAACUUUGUAAAUUGAGUCCUUAAAUUAGUAAUAUUAGCCCUCGAAGUUGUAAUAUGAGUUCAAAUUGUAGAAUUUUCUAGUUACAACAUUAGUAAUGAUCAUGUGUCUUUAAAGUGGUAAAAUAUAUGCUUAAAGUGGUAAUUGAGUCCUCAAAAUGAUUAAAAAAAAUUGUUACAACUUUAAGGACUCAAUUACCACUUUAAGGACUCAAUUACCACUUUAAGGACAAAUGAGGACUAAUGUUGUAACUAAUUUUUUUUACAACUUUAACAACUCAUAUUACAACUUUGAGGACUCAUUUUACAGCUUGAGGACAAAAUUGAUGCAUCACAGGCAUUAACACACUCUAGAUUUACCUUGUGUUUCCAUUGCUUAUUGGUUAAAUUUUGAAAGUUCAUUCACCUCAUUUGCCGUCAAUAUGUGUUGUGCAGGAUUUAUCGUUAUCUGUCUUCUCUCACCGAUAUGACGUGCUUUGAUAAUAUAAUUAACAUAAUCAUAUACCGCUUGAGUAUCUAUAUAUAUAUAUAGUGUUAAAGUGUUGCAUAUCUUUGUAUCUAGAAAAAAGAUAUAUAAAUCCAUAUAAUUUAGGUUAUCCUAGAUAUAUUCCUAGUCAUCUCAUCUUGCUUUGAGCACCUUUAAUUAACAUGAGCAGUAAAAUUUGAUAAUCUACCGAUUAGACAUCCUUUUGUUUUUAAGUCUGAUCGAUCUGUUCUCAAGGACAAGAUUCACUCAUGAGCAAAAUGAAAUGGUCGGUGCAAACUUCACUAGCAAGGAUUCUUCUCAUUAAUUAACUUUCCCAUGUAUAUUUUGGCAGAUGACUUAUCUAGAAACUUGGUGGCUCUUUUUCCCCCACAAUCCAAGUUAGAUGGUUGUUCAGACAUUAUUGGUUAGGGGAGGAAUUGUGCAGGUUGAUCAUAUGGACAAUUCUAACUACAAUCUAGCCUUGAUUGUUGGAUUUGCCAUAAAUAAUCAGCAGUCCUUGACAACCAAACUGCGAUUUGUUGAGACAAAUUAAUAUUGUACGUAGUUGUUUGGUCUACAUUCUUUCUUUCUUACUCAAAGGAUUCCUCAAAGCUCUAAUCCCUGAAAGAAAGAAGUCACAGAAGAGCCAAACUGUAGAGGAUUGACCUGAGUCAUAACCCAUGUAAAGCUCUAGGGUUGCAAAUUGAAUAUGCGAUCGAUAUGAUCAAAUUCCUCAGUGGAUAAAUUUCAUCUAGUUUGAAAGGAGCUUCAUAUAGCAAUCCCAGCACAUGCUAUGUCACAUACAAAUGGAUUACACUCUUAAAUGUGCAGGGCUAAGCAUUCCAUGUGGGAGAGAAUAGAACAAACAUAUAAGCCAUAUACUCCCCCAUAGCUCCAUGUGAGAAUAACAACACAGAAACAAGUAUAUAUUAAGUUAUUUAUACAUAUAGAGAUAUAUAUACAUACAGAUCCUAUCCAGCAGGAACGAAGUCUCGCUUUAAAGUUAUAUAGAUAUUCUUUCCCAUCCUUUUCUAUGAUCCUUCCUCCAUGUGAUCUAUAAUCUAGACCAAAUCCUUAAUACAUCAUCUGGUUUGUCAAAUUUUGCAGGCUACAUGACCCAUGGAUGUGACCUGAGAAAAUAAACAAAAAAAUAGAUAAUAAUAAUUUUGAUUCUUUCAUGCAUAAAUCCAACGCAGUGUCCUAUAUACUCGAGAUCUUGGAAGGCUCUGGCGAUUCGGAUACUCUCUUUAUCGUGUAGCUGAGGAGGAGAUGUAUAUUAUUAGGGUUUGUCAUUGAUGCAGUAGUAAUGCAGAAGAAGAAGAAGACCAAAUAAUGCAGGUGUUGGGGUGCAGGGUUACAAAAGCUUACUAGAAAGACUGAGUUUCUGGAACAAAGUAGUCUUGCAUUUCAUGCACUUUGGAAUAAUAUAACUGAGGGACUUCAAGCCAGUUUGACUGGGGGGAUCGUCGUCUAGGAGGACAAGUUUGUCAGUGAAGCAGGAGUUGAUUCAGAUUAAUGUGAAAAUAUAUUCAUCUCUGAUAGACAACGUGGAAAUUAAGCUAUAUAUUCUUCAGUUAAAAGAUGACGGUAACCCUAAAUAUAUUACUGUUUUCUCUAUAAAGUUCAGAUGGUAAUGAUCACCUCCAAUCAGAUGGUACGAAUCUGCAAAUUUUACUGUAUUUUUCUUACAACUUUAUAAAUAAGGAAGCCUAUAAAUAAAUAAAAAUCUUAAAAAGUUUAAACGAUCUGUGGCACAUAAUUCAUACUUCAUACAUGUGUCAUGUAUUCAUAUCUAGGUAAGAUUAGGGUUUGUUAAUACAUGUGAUGCAUUAAUUUUGUCUUCAAGUUGUAAAAUAAAUCCUCAAAGUAUUAAUAUUAGUCCUCAAAGUUGUAAUGUGAGUCGUUAAAGUUGUAAAAAAAAGUAGUUACAACAUUAACAUUAGUCAUCAUUUGUCUUUAAAAUGGUAAUUGAGUCAUCAAAGUUACAACAUUAACACUAGUCCUCAUUUGUCUUUAAAGUGGUAAUUGAGUUAUCAAAGUUGUAAUAUGAGUCAUCAAAGUUGUAACAAUUUUUUUUAAUCACUUUGAGGACCCAAUUACCACUUUAAGCACACAUUUUACCACUUUAAGGACACAUGAUGACUAAUGUUGUAAUUAAUUUUUUUACAACUUUACGGACUCAUAUUACAACUCCGAGGACUAAUAUUACUAAUUUGAUAACUCAAUUCACAUGUAUUAACACAUUAAAGAAUUUUCCUUCAUAUAUUAUGUAUUUGUCGAGCUCAUAUUGUGAGAAAGAUACAUUGACGCGGAAACAAUACAUAUUGUCAAGUCAUGAUGGCAUAAAAAAUGAACGUGGAGACCAUGUAUGAAAAUAAAAAUGAUAUGUGAAGAGGAUUGGACCUAAUCUUUACUAAAAUUAUAAGUAGGAUUCAUGAAUGAUGAUUCUAGUUUUUCUUUGAUCUUUUUAAAACAGUUUUAUUUUUCUUUACUAUAGCAGAUAACUGUUUUUUUCAUGAAUUUAAUUUUACGACCUCCACUACACCAAAUGAUUGUGAGCUUCUCUCGUAAUUCUUUUGGUAGCUGGUUUUUCUUUUUAGGUACUUCUUACGUUUAUAAUGUACAAUGAUCAAACAUCAUAUCAUACAUAAAUAAAAGGGAAAAUGACCAUUACAUCAAAAACAGCUAAAACAAUAUAGAUUCAUAUAUAUGGUGAAUGGAUUGAUUCAUAUAUAUGGUGCUACCCCAUUAAAGAUUUGAGGUCGAUCUCAAUGUGGAACAACCCCAUGGUAGUUUUGGCUAGAAGAUCCAUUUUGAAGCAAAGCCACAUGCAUAAUUGCAUUCUAGCAAUAGGCUGCAUGGUUUGGUGCAGUUCACUUAAGGAAGAAAAAUAUAGCUUCAUAGAUUCAUGAUGAAUUCAUAAGAAUAGGCAUCCGGCAUUGGUACAAAAUGAUUGAAGGAGCCCUUACAAGUCGUCCUUUUGCCCUACAAAAGGAUGGAUCUAGAUCCCUUCUGAUGGCGCCCAAAUUAGAAUUUGAGGGAGGGUGUGUGGUGGUAGUUACAAAAUUAUAAUUGAAUGAUAAGGGAUACUUUUAAAAUGAAUUGAAUGAAAUUAGGUAUUUGAGGAGACAUUGCAAUCUCUCAAUUUAUCAAUUAUAUAAAACAUGAAUGGUUCGGAUCAUUAGAUAAAUAGUUUGACAAUUUGUAAGACCAGACCGAAUGAAUUUUAGUUAAAUUUUAGACAAAGUUAGUGCUACAAUACUAAUAAUUUCUCGAAUACUCGGAGUCGAUUUUACGCACCAAGGUGCACUUGCACCAUUAAUGUAUAAGUCAUCUAAUCGCCGUAUACGAAUAUCGAAUGAAGACUAGAGACCUUAAAUUCUUUCAUCUCAUUUUCAUUUUUGAUCCGAUCAAAUUAAGCGCUCAUAAUAAGAGUACCUCUUAUUCGAUCUCAAGUCCUCACCUCCUGUGUUGGAAACACUUAAGACUAUUUUUUUGGGUUUCAAUUUUGUUAACGGUAUUAGAAUACAUGCAUGAUAAUGCGAUCGACGUUGAUGACCGGAUUAAAAUAUUACAUAUUAGUUGUUCGGUUCAUUUACACCUUGGUGCGUAGAAGAAUUUUCGUCAAAUACUAUACUAUCUUGUACACACUUAGGAGUCUAGCUUUCCUUUAAUCUUGGGAAGCAUAUAUGGUCCUAUAUAUGUCCCCCUUUCAAGAGAAUUCGAUUGGGAAGCAAUCUAAACCAAACAAACAUCUAUGAUCAUUUUAAUUCUGAUGCUCAAGUUCGCAUGCAUGGGAUCAUCAAUAUCAUUGAUAUGGUUGGAAGCAGGGACCAAAAUAAUUCCCAAACGUACAAUAACCUACUCCAAUUCUAAUGCAUGCCUACCCUAAUUGUUGGACCUUUACGCAAUCUAUCUCCAAGAAUAAAGCCACAAGUUUCUCAACCAAGCAAACGGAGAUCGAAUCAUAUCAUAUCUAAAAGACCAAGCAACGACCUUUUUAUCAUCUUUGGUUUCUUCUACUAAAACAUCAACAUUUGCAGGUGCUGCACCAUCACUAUGUCUCUGUCCAAAACCCUCAAUUCAUAUGGCCCCGGAAUUUUUCUUUCUUAUUCUUUUCAGAUUGACAAAGUAGUCGGGUUCUUGCUCAAAGCUAGCUUGACCAACUACCACACCAACCAACUUAACUGCCUCUUGUUAUUAUAUAUGCUACACCGUACCCAAAAGAAGUCGAGAUAUUAACUAAAGGAUUCUGGCCAGCCUCCUAAUUGAUUAAUGGUCUUCAAUUGUGCUUGUUGAUGAUUUGAUUAAGAUUGUAGAGUUAAAGGGGAGUCGAUCACCUAACGCGCGCAUGAAAUUUUCCAGAAGACAGAUCCAUGGACAAAGAAGAUAAACUGUCAGCUCUUAUUCAUUUGGAAAUUCUGAAAGUAAUAAUGAGCAAAAUUGAUUCUUCCCCAACUUUACCAAAGUUUCCGGGUUUCAAUCAACUAAUAAUUUAGUUGGUUGAUGUAGUUAACUAAGUAAAUGAAACUAAUGAUGAACUUCAGGGAAGUGCUGCGAGUGAGGUAGCCAUUAAUAGACUCGACGAGAAUUACAGAUAUGAAUAGUAAGUUACAUAGUAGCAGUGGAAAGGCUAGAAAUCUUGAAUUGGAUAUGAGAACUUGAUUCUUCGCCUAGGAUGAAACUCGUGCUUACUUGAAAAUUUGCCGGGCCGGGCGCGUCACCGCCACACGCCGAUGAGGGCGGUGAGAUCGCCGCUGGGAAAGUCAGGGGAUAGUGGUCGCCGAAAGAGGACGAGCUGCUCACUCGGCUGGUCACCCAGUUUGGCGCCAGAAACUGGAGAGUCAUCGCCAGAGGAAUUCCGGGCCGCUCCGGCAAGUUUGGCCGGCUCCGGUGGUGCAAUCAGCUCAAUCCCGGCGUAAAGCGCGAGAAAAAAAAAAAUUUGAACCAAAAUUAAUGUGCUUUAGAAUUGGCCCUACCAUUAUGUAACUAAACAUUGGGCCACUAAGAAGCUUUAUCCACAAGGCUAUGGCAGUACACAGCGUUCAAAUUGUUUCCAUUGCUAAUUGGGCAGCAUGUUUCAGCAAGAGGACCAUAACUGAGAAUAUGAGACGUAAAAGAGGAGGGAGGGAGUAAAAGAAUGAAAAGAAUAUAUUAAAAAAGAAAACCAUUGCUAGGGGAACACACAUGAUUAUUCUCUACAGGUAUAAAAGAUGGAAUCACAUCAAUUAGCAUUAACUCUAUCAUCUCUUGCAUCUGUAUGUAUAUGUAUGUCAACUGCACAGCUCCGUACAUAGCUGCUGAAUCCGGGAAGGGCUGCUAUCUUCCAACGAAUACGUGCUGGUUUUCCCAUUGCUUGAGCAAGUCACAUUCAGUUGAUUUCCGAGCUGGUUCGUCUGCAAGAUUGGUGAAUAGAUGCAUAUACAGAACCAUGUAUCAGUACAAUAUUAGUUUGCAGCAACAUAGAUGACAUAAACAGAAACUUAAUUCGGGAAACAAACUUAAGGCUAGAAGCUUAAAAACAAUGUGGAUGAUGGAGCAUAGCAACGGGUGAGUUGAGGAGCUCCGAUGGGCUAGAUGGACAAUUAAUAUCUCAUAACUUUAGUAGAAUGGACACAAGCAGUGAGAACCUUUUCAAUCCAUUUCUUAAAUUCAAAAAGUUUAAUAAAACUAAAACAGGCUUCAUCUGGUUUGAUAAUCUUCAGUUUUUCAUUGUAUUGGCACAUCACUUUAAUAAGCGACUACUUUUAUUUGUCAAAUAAUAUGGUAAAAGUAAUGAGUCGGAAGAAAAUUAGUGCAGCAACAAUUACCAGACACUCAAUUUGGUGUGGCUUGCACUUCCAUUUGGAGGUUGGGACACAGCUUAAAUAAUGACACCAGGAACAGUACUCAUUCAGAUUGACUCCUCUUAGGAGAUAAAUUAGGCCAAGAGUAAAACUGUCAAAAAUCAGAAGACUACUGUCAGAAAAUUCUUAUAUCUACUGGUUUUAGGCACCUAAGAUGAGAAUGAAUUUCCAUUUCCAAUAAAGAAAGAAAAUAAAGAACAUGACCUAGUAUCAUCAAGGUGACCAACUAGUAUUAGACAUAAAGAAACAUAGUUAUGAAGGUUGUCAAGUUCUCCGAUUUGAUCAUAAGACACACUCAUUACAUAUGCUGUAAAAUUGUCAUUAAAGUAGUUACGGUACAGGAAGCGAAACAAUCAAU
rnacentral:lncRNA from 1 species